CAAUAGCGUAUAUUAAAGUUGUUGCAGUUAAAAAGCUCGUAGUUGGAUUUCUGGUGGGAGCGAUCGGUCUGGCGCUUAGCGCGAGUACUUGCAUCGUCUCCGGCCAUCCUUGGGGAGAGUCUGUCUGGCAUUAGGUUGUCGGGCAGAGGAUCCUCAUCGUUUACUGUGAAAAAAUUAGAGUGUUCAAAGCAGGCUUAUGCCGUUGAAUAUAUUAGCAUGGAAUAAUAAGAUAGGACUUUGGUACUAUUUUGUUGGUUUGCGCACCAAAGUAAUGAUUAAUAGGGACAGUUGGGGGUAUCCGUAUUCCGUUGUCAGAGGUGAAAUUCUUGGAUUUACGGAAGACGAACUACUGCGAAAGCAUUUACCAAGGAUGUUUUCAUUAA
rnacentral:rRNA from 1 species